CUAACAAUCCCUUCCCGAAAGGUUUGCUCCUGUCGGAUAGACGAACCAUGUUUGUCCACCUGCCCAUUUCAUGAAACGGAAAAGAGAUCUGUCACACAAAACUAAAAAACUAAAAAAGUGUGAUGUCAUUCAGUGAUUGUCAUUCGUAACCAUUCGGCUUGUAGCCUGAAUUGAUGCGUCCACUGCUGUAAACGCGCGUCGCGGUCCGUCUCCGUCCGUCUCCGUAGAAACGCAGUCUGGAGGGAAUUUACUGGCCGUUUUAAAUGUUUCAUUCGCUAAUUUUCGUGCAGAUGAGCCGCGGUAAUGUUAAUCCAGAGGUUCCUACCAGCUGUUAUCUCUCUCUCUCUCUGAAUGUCUGGCUGCUGUCACAUCACCUCGGUCAAAUAAAGCUGGACAUUUUGGAUGACUGGUCUCUGUGGUGUUACAUCUAUAAAGGUCCCCCUUCUGUUGUGUUACGUCUAUAAAGGUUCCCCUUCUGUUGUGUUACGUCUAUAAAUGUCCCCCUUCUGUUGUGUUACGUCCAUAAAGGUUCCCCUUCUGUUGUUACAUUUACAUUUACGUCAUUUAGCAGACACUCUUAUCCAGAGCGACUUACAAAUUGGUGC
rnacentral:lncRNA from 1 species